UGGAGGCGCUGGGAUGGAACUUUCAGGUUUGGUGGACUGGCGCCGACGCCCGCGGCCUGACAGCUGCGGCGCUGGGCUGGGCUGCUCCCGGAAGGGCGCCGCGGAUCUCCGCGGUCUCCCCGAGGGCCGCUGCCUCCCUCAUAGCCUCUUUGCUGCGGCCUUCUGCCGCGCCCAGCCUGCACCCCUACUUUGUGCCAGGUCUACGGUCGACCCAGAUGGCACUAUUAGGGCUAGGAACUGUUCCAAGUGUUCCCCGUGGUUUAGCUCAUUAAAGUUCCUCAAUCUUUCCAUAAUCAUUCCUGUUUUACGUGAGGAAACUGAGGUGCGCGGAACAGUUAAGUAAUGAUACAAAGUGUUUCCGAGAUGAUUACGUGACAGCAGCCUCAAGGAGCUAUCAAUUUUAUUAUGGGAGAUGAGCGAACCCAAUUUUGCUAGGUGAUAUUGGAGCAGGUGGUAGCAGUGUGGAGAGCAGCUGAGCUCCGGCGGUGAGGAGCCUUUAGAGGAGAUGGAUGCCUUCAGAGCUGUGUACUUUUCCACUGAUCAGCUGGUGACUACCCAGGGGAGGUGUAUUUCCAUUUUGAGGAAGAAAUGCUUUCCUGCACAAAGAACCAGGAAUGAAGGAACCCAGGUCAAAGUCUUCCUACAGCCUGAGGGGAAAGCCCAGCUCUGAUCCAGCUGUGGGCAAGCCCUUCCCCUUGGCUGGUACCUCAGUGCCCACACAUACAAAAGUGACAUGAACAUAUGGUGUGGCAAGCAUUAAGUGAUCAUAAUGCUUGCAAAAAUAUUUCACAUAGUAUGGCCAGUCAUGUUAAUUGGUGAGUUUUGUCAAAGGGGUAUUUACUGCACUAUUCUUGCAACCUUCUUGUUGGCUUGAAUUUUUCCAAAAGUGAAGGGGAAUGAGGAAAGGGAGACCGGCAGCUCUUGUCUGCACAGAAUACUCAGAAAGCGAUGCCAAUGGCGGCCUCUGGGGAGAAGAACUGGGUUAUUGGGAAGUGACCUACUUUUCAUUUUCAUUAUAAAACCUUUUUUCCUCCUUUUGGGUUUUUGUUUCAUGUGCAUGUACAACUUGUUUAAAAAGAAAGACUUAGACCAGCAAGAUGGCACCGUGUGUAAAGGCUUUUGGUGCCAAGCCUGAUGAAUUGAGAUCGAUCCCCUGAAGCCGCACAGGGGAAGUGGAGAACAAACUCCUGCAAGCUGUUCUCCGACCUCCAUACAGGUGCCGCAGUGUGCCCCACUCGCGUGUACACACACACGCACAAAGUAAACUUAAAAUGUAGUUACAAUUUUUCGAAAUAUCUUGGGGCCAGUCAAGGCUACCCUAUUAAGAAAAUGCUGAGCCAGGCGGUGGUCGUGCAUGCCUUUAUUCUCAGCACUCGGGAGGCAGAGGUGGGUGGAUCUUUGUGAGUUUGGGGCCAGCUUGGUCUACAGAGUGAGUUCUAAGACAGCCAGGACUAUACGGAGAAACCCUCUGUCUUGAAAAACAAAACCAACACAACGAGAGAGAGAGAGAGAGAGAGAGAGAGAGAGAGAGAGAGAGAGAGAGAGAGAGAGAGAGAAGCAAAAUAGCCUAUCUUCUGAGUCUCUUCUGCCAGGCCUGCCGGGCACUACUGAAGUCACAGCUGUGGGUGUGAAGAAGAGUGAUUCGGGGAUCCUGAGGCUAGUAGCCUGACAAGAGCUGUACUUCAAGCAAAUGGAGACUCAUGGAAACAAGAGGCAAACAGACACUUCCACUGGGAAGUUGUGGGGCCCUGCCUGGGAAACAACUCCUGACUCCAUCGUAGCCACAGGGUUUAGGCUCCCGGAAAAGGCAGUGUCUUGGACAGUAAGACUCGAUCUGGAGGAGGAGGAAAGACAUUGCAGACCACUGCAGCAGGGUGACGGGCUCAGGACCCCCAGACCAGCCUGCGGAAACAAACAGAAGCCUGGCUGUCACUAGGGUGUUACAGAUUCAAACUGUCCACGUGGAGGAGACAUUGGGAGGAUGAGUGAGUGGCACAAACUCCCUGAGAAGGCAGGUAUGCUGCUGCUGGUGGGUAGGUACUAUUACUUCAUGACUAUCUGAAAGAAGAGGCCCACUGGGUUCAGGGCACACUAGGUCCUUGCCUGUGGUGCCAAUUAAGUCAGUACUUUGCAAGUGAGAGUUCAAGUCUUCAGGCUGACACCACCGUCACCUGGACAGUGAAGAGUGCCAAACUGGGUGGUACCCAGGGCCUUAAACAUGCUGAGUAAGUGCCCUGCCAUGAACCAUGUCCCAGUGCAAUUGUGGAUCUUUGGGCUAGGCACUUAUGUAGGGGCCCUUGGUCUGGGAUAUGAGUGGCAAGCAGAAAUUUAGAAAUGGAAUCCAUCAGGAAAUGAUUAUGAAAGACCAGACAGGACAGAAAACGAGGCCAGAACUAGAACAGUUAUCAGUCGGAGAUGCAAGGAAUGAAAUUGGACAACACUGAAGUGGAUUAAAAUUCCAGUAGCCUCAGCAUCCCUAGGGCAGAGCGGGGGCAGGCUUUACUACUGAAUUUCCCCACCUAAUUCAGUGCCUAGUACCCAGCCAACUCCUAGCCACAACUGAAUAGGUGAGAACAUAUUAUUUCAUCAUACCAAACUAUUUCCCUUAUCCGAUUAUAAAAUCCACCCAGCCAGAUUUGAGUCUCAUAGCUUUGGGUUCCCUUUUUGGAGGCCUAGAAUACAAACAUUCAUUAGGCUAUAGACUUAGAAUUGAUUCAUUGAGGGUUUAGCUCAGUGGCUGAGCACUUACAUAGCACGCAUAGUAUUGUAGAUAAGUAAUGUGGUACACUUGGGAGACGGAAACAGGAUUGAUGUGAGUUCGAGGUCAACCUGGGGCUUCUUAGAGAGUGCCAGACUAUUCAGGGCUAUAAAACAAAACCCUCUCUCAAAACAAGGUGAUUCAGGCCAGGUGUAGUAGUGCACACCUUUAAUCCCAGUGCUGGAGAGACAGAGGCAGGCUGAUCUCUGUGAGCUCAAGGCCAGCCUGGUCUACAGGGCGAGUACCAGGACAGCCAGGGCUACUUAGUGAAAUCCCGUCUCAAGAACCAAACCAAACAAAAAAGACAACUCACUACAUUGCUUUCAGUGUGAUGUAUACUAUAUACCCCUAACAAGCGAGCAGGCAGACAAGCAAGAAAAGGCCUCUCAGGUGGGACCCAAGGCAGUUGAGUCUUGCGUGUGGUUCUGACUAUCACCCUUGAAAGCCUCCAGGGAAGUAGCAGAAUUUACACAAAUUUACACAUGCUCACAUGAAGGUAACCACUAUUUUGUUCUCCACCAUCUUGCCUGAUCUUGAACUUGGUAUGAGUGAGGGUCUGCUCAGUGCACCUGGCUUUUCUCUCUUAACAUUAUAUCUGUGACAUUCAUAUGUCCACAUGGAGACUGAGUAUCUUAUGAUCAAAUGCCUAACAAGAGGCAACUUAAGAGAGGAACGGGAUUUUUUUUUUUCCGAGACAGGGUUUCUCUGUGGCUUUGGAGCCUGUCCUGGAACUAGCUCUGUAGACCAGGCUGGUCUCGAACUCACAGAGAUCCACCUGCCUCUGCCUCCCGAGUGCUGGGAUUAAAGGCGUGCGCCACCAUCACCCGGCAGGAACGGGAUUUUUGUUGUUGUUGUUUGGUUUGGUUUUUAAUUCACAGUAUGUGGCUACAAUCUCUCAUGGCAGGUAUGACAUGGCCAAAGUCACUGCUGAUGACCUUAGAAGCAGGUGUGUGAGGCUGCCAUGUUCACUUCUCCAUAGAAAGGAAGAUUAGGGAAUGCCAGACCUCUUCUUUUCCCCGUUUUAUUCAGUUCAGGAUCCAGCACAUAGGUUGAUGGUGCCUACCCUCGGGUGACCAAUCCUGUGUAACCUGCAUGGCUUUGGAGUGCCCAGACUACGGCGAUGGAUGAUGACCAGGAGACUGAAUAAAGGACAGAGUCAAAGACACAUGUACAGAACUCUAGGCUCAGAUCUCAGAAACCCCCAAAGUGGCCUUGGAAGGAAGAAGACAAAGUUCUCUGGAGAUGAGCCAGCCUGUGGCACUCUGAAGUCCAAAGUCAGUCGACUAUGGCCCAGGCCUACCUAGUCUUCAGGUGGGAGGGCUGGCCUGGUGUGAAUCCCCAGGGGAGGCUCUAUAAAUAGUGGCUACUUCUUUGGAUCGUGAGGACUAGUCAUGCAUGAAGGCAUGUGCCUGUAAUCCCAGCAUGAAGGAAGUAGAAGCAGAAGGGUCAGAAGUUGAAGGUUAUCCUCUCAGGUAUAUGUCUGUGAAGAACAAUCUUUUCUCUGAGAAGGCUAGCUCAGCAAGGGCCAGGAUCCUACAAACCUCCCCAUCCUGUGAGCCUCUGUGUACACGCCUGUUUGCCCAAGCCCUGGAUGCCAGACAUUCCUGAGAUUUGACUCCAUCACACCCUCCCCUUCACGCCAAUUAUGAAUCAUAUCGAAUCUUGAAGUCAAGCUCCUACCAGUGGAAUUAGACACAGUCACCACCUGCUGUAGGAUAAAAAAAAAAAAAAAAAAAAAAACGGGGUGAACUUCCUGCCCCAGUGUGGCUGUUCACCUGGUUUGGGUCAUUGUACACCAGCGUGCAAAAAGUAAAUUGCCUCAGUGAGUUCCUCUGCCUAUGUUUGUGUGUCUCUUCUUGACACUGGGAAUAUUCUGUUCUAACACAGAAUUCAAAGCCUGCGUGGGCUACCUG